rnacentral:rRNA from 1 species
GAUGAACGCUAGCGGCAGGCUUAACACAUGCAAGUCGAGGGGUAUAGUUCUUCGGGACUAGAGACCGGCGCACGGGUGCGUAACGCGUAUGCAAUCUACCUUUACAGAGGGAUAGCCCAGAGAAAUUUGGAUUAAUACCUCAUAGCAUAUAGAGUUGGCAUCAACACUAUAUUAAAGUCACAACGGUAAAGAUGAGCAUGCGUCCCAUUAGCUAGUUGGUAAGGUAACGGCUUACCAAGGCUACGAUGGGUAGGGGUCCUGAGAGGGAGAUCCCCCACACUGGUACUGAGACACGGACCAGACUCCUACGGGAGGCAGCAGUGAGGAAUAUUGGACAAUGGGCGCAAGCCUGAUCCAGCCAUGCCGCGUGCAGGAUGACGGUCCU